rnacentral:lncRNA from 1 species
GCCACAGUGCGUUGAUUUCUUGUUUGAACCGAUCGAUUAAAUAAAAAGUGACAAGUGAACUCGCAUCAAACGCUGAGGUUUUAUAUACAGCAAAUCACUCAAAGUAAAAUAAUUCUAUCCUCCUCCUCUCCGCUAGUGGGCGACUUACUAGACUCCCCUUAAGUCUUCCCUGAACUCUCGCGAUAUUACCGCGUCUGUCCCGCAAUCUUCCUUUUCCGGGAGUCUCUCAAGAUGGCGGACGCCGAGCAGAAGAAGAAGCGCACCUUCAGGAAGUUCACCUACAGAGGUGUGGACCUGGACCAGCUGCUGGACAUGUCCUAGUGAGUCAAAGCUCUGUCGUCUGAAGGUGAAACAUGUCGAGAGAAGCGAGGAAUGCUUGCCUCCAGUGGCAGUGGCAGCAUUCUUCUGAGGGACACGAUAUGCUGGAAUAUCCGAGCUGAUCUGUUUCAGAUAACACAGUUUCUGCAGGGCUUAUGAAGGGAAAUGUGUGACUUCUUAAAAUUCCAAAUAAAGACAUUUUAAAGACUGAAUUGAUUGGAACACGUCAAUACGGUAUUUAAAGUUUUUACAAAAAAACAAAGUCAUUGUUUUUGUCUUUAAAGGACUUAUUAGUUAAAAAUGAGACGCUAUUGUUUAAUUGUUUUCAUUUUUGAAUACUAAGUUCUUUAAUAGUUAUGAUGCUAAAUGCCCAUUUCAUGAACCUGCUGAUUUACCUGAAAUGCAUGUUUCACAGCAUUCAAUCAGGGUUUCGGCAGGUCUUGAAGUCUUAAUUCAUGCCUUCAGAAAUUAAGGCAUUACAUGUUGCAAACUUUGUGUAAAAUGUAUUAAAAAGUAAUGGUGAUCAGUUGGAAUUUGCAUCUUCAAACUUUGAAGUGUUGCUAAUACAAAACAUAUGUAGAGAAUAUAUUCAUGUAUGGUAUUCUAUUACAUUUAUUUUAUGCAUUUUCAUCAUUGCUAAAAGGUCGUAUAUUUACCAUAAAACCUGCAGAAACCAUAUUAAAAAGUAUGGACUGUAGUAGGUAAGCUGAUUUGUAAGAAGCAGAUCUAGCUUUUUAUUUUAGACAAUUUCAACAACAGGGUUGGAGUACUUAAAAAUAAAAAGACAACCUAAACAUGAAAAUUAAAAAAAACAACUGCUUUUCAAGUGACCAGAACAAUACUCU